AUUGAACGCUGGCGGCAUGCUUUACACAUGCAAGUCGAACGGUAACAGGGUGCUUGCACCGCUGACGAGUGGCGAACGGGUGAGUAAUGCGUCGGAACGUGCCGAGUAGUGGGGGAUAACGCAGCGAAAGUUGUGCUAAUACCGCAUACGUACUGAGGUAGAAAGUGGGGGACCUUCGGGCCUUACGCUAUUCGAGCGGCCGACGUCUGAUUAGCUAGUAGGUGAGGUAAAGGCCCACCUAAGCGACGAUCAGUAGCGGGUCUGAGAGGAUGAUCCGCCACACUGGGACUGAGACACGGCCCAGACUCCUACGGGAGGCAGCAGUGGGGAAUUUUGGACAAUGGGCGAAAGCCUGAUCCAGCCAUGCCGCGUGUCUGAAGAAGGCCUUCGGGUUGUAAAGGACUUUUGUCGGGGAGGAAAUCCCCAGCGCUAAUACCGCUGGGGGAUGACAGUACCUGAAGAAUAAGCACCGGCUAACUACGUGCCAGCCGCCGCUGUAAUAC
rnacentral:rRNA from 1 species